GCCGCGAUAGCUUUGUUGGGAGUGCGUCAGACUGAAGAUCUGAAGGUCACUGAUUCGAUCCCGAGUCACGGCA
rnacentral:tRNA from 1 species